rnacentral:lncRNA from 1 species
UGAACUAGGGUGGAUUGAUGAAAAACUAAUGUGGGUGGACUGGAGAUAUCAUAAAUGGCCGGGGAGUCCCUCCUACACUUAUCCCUCCAUAAUACAUAUAUACCUGUAUAGGCCUCCUUGAGCUAAUUAUUAUGGCAAUAUUGCCCAACAAAACUAGUUAGCCCCUCGGCCUAGUGCAUGUUAGCUGCAUGAACUGGAGAUAUCAUAAAUGGCUGGGGAUUCCCUCGUACACUUAUCCCUUCAUAAUACAUAUGUACCUGUAUAGGCUUGGGGGAUUACCUUGUACCCUACAAGAACAUAGUCAUUAAGACCAACCCACAUGUUCCCAAAUAUGAGUUUCCAAUGUUUAUCUUACAGACUUACACCUUCAUGGCUAUCUAUCAUAACCCCCC